GGCAGGUAAGCGCGGGAACUACCUCAGGUCGCCGAAAGGCGGCAGCCGGCUAACCCCCGGUGGGAUCCUGAGGCCCGGGACCUGCUUUUUA
rnacentral:sRNA from 12 species